rnacentral:lncRNA from 1 species
GUUUUCCCCCGAGCUGCUUCUGAACCUGGUGCCUUGUGCUGUGGGACCGUGCUGAGCUCCCAGAGGGUGGUGCAGAAUCCUGUUUGUAGUUGUCCCUGACCUCCCUGGCUUCCUCUGCACUGUGUUUUGUGGGGGCUCAAAGCCACAAUCAGCAGUUGUUUGUUCUCUACCUGCUGAAAAACUCUCAGAUUUGGGGCAGUCUGAGCUUCAGAGCACACAUGCAAGUGUCCUUCUCUCCUGGCUUUUGACUCUGCCAUGUGAAACUGAAACUGAGAUCUAGAAAACCAUUGAGAGGUGGACUUCUCUGCACAGUUGAAUCCUGGAGCCCCUUCUUCAGCUGCUAGGUGUUCUGAAAAGAGGUCGAAAGGCAUUUUGUUGUUAAACAAGGUCCCCAAAGACUGUCUCUUGAAUCUGUGUGGCUUGCAACCAGGACUCAGUACCAGGUACCUGCAGUUCUUCCUUCAGAUGCUGAUCCUACAAGCUGUAGGAAUCCUGCAAGCUGCAGGGAUCCCUUUUGACUUCACUGAGUUCCAUGGGUGGUUUUGCAUUCAAUUCCAAGCUGUGUGGACCAACUUGCAGCUGCAAUAUCUCUUUUCAGAAGAACUUCCUUGACAGGAGAGAAGGUCUUUGCCUUCGCCAUGUCAAGGAAUCUUAAUGAUGUAUUCCUUCUCCAUUGCGUUCCCCACCUGUCAUCU